rnacentral:rRNA from 1 species
AUUGAACGCUGGCGGCAUGCCUUACACAUGCAAGUCGAACGGCAGCACGGGUGCUUGCACCUGGUGGCGAGUGGCGAACGGGUGAGUAAUACAUCGGAACGUACCUUAUCGUGGGGGAUAACGCAGCGAAAGUUGCGCUAAUACCGCAUACGCCCUGAGGGGGAAAGCGGGGGACCGUAAGGCCUCGCGCGAUUAGAGCGGCCGAUGUCUGAUUAGCUUGUUGGCGGGGUAAAAGCCCACCAAGGCGACGAUCAGUAGCUGGUCUGAGAGGACGAUCAGCCACACUGGGACAGAGACACGGCCCAGACUCCUACGGGAGGUAGCAGUGGGGAAUUUUGGACAAUGGGGGCAACCCUGAUCCAGCAAGGCCGCGUGAGUGAAGAAGGCCUUCGGGUUGUAAAGCUCUUUUGUCAGGGAAGAAACACCGGCUCUAACACAGUCCGGGAAUGACGGUACCUGAAGAAUAAGCACCGGCUAACUACGUGCCAGCAGCCGCCGUAA